AGCUUUGCGCAGUGGCGAUAUCGUAACCAAUGAGGUUCAUCCGAGGUGCGAUUAUUGCUAGUUGAAAACUUUACCAAUACCCCGCCAUGUGGACAUGAAACACUGUCCGCGUAGGCAAUUUUUGGAGGCCCUAACGGGC